GAUGAACGCUAGCUACAGGCUUAACACAUGCAAGUCGAGGGGCAGCACAGUGUAGCAAUACAUGGGUGGCGACCGGCGCACGGGUGCGUAACGCGUAUCCAACCUUCCCGUUACUCAGGGAUAGCCUUCCGAAAGGGAGAUUAAUACCUGAUGGUGUUCAAAUUCCGCAUGUUAUUUGAACUAAAGAUUUAUCGGUGCAGGAUGGGUCCGCGUCUGAUUAGCCAGUUGGUGGGGUAACGGGCCCACCAAAGCGACGAUCAGUAGCCGGCCUGAGAGGGUGGACGGCCACAUUGGGACUGAGACACGGCCCAGACUCCUACGGGAGGCAGCAGUGGGGAAUAUUGCGCAAUGGGGGAAACCCUGACGCAGCAACGCCGCGUGAAGGAAGAAGGUCUUCGGAUUGUAAACUUUUGUCUUCAGGGAAGAUAAUGACAGUACCUGAGGAGGAAGCUCCGGCUAACUACGUG
rnacentral:rRNA from 1 species